UACGAAGGGGGCUAGCGUUGCUCGGAAUCACUGGGCGUAAAGCGCACGUAGGCGGAUUGUUAAGUCAGGGGUGAAAUCCUGGAGCUCAACUCCAGAACUGCCUUUGAUACUGGGAGACUUCGAGUCCGGGAGAGGUGAGUAGAACUGCGAGUGUAGAGGUGAAAUUCGUAGAUAUUCGCAAGAACACCAGUGGCGAAGGCGGCUCACUGGCCCGGUACUGACGCUGAGACGCGAAAGCGUGGGGAGCGAACAGG
rnacentral:rRNA from 1 species